rnacentral:lncRNA from 1 species
CUUGAGGUUGUUGAGUUUGAUUUUCAUUAGUUAUAUCAGGGUCCUGAUGGGGAAGAUUUUCGUGAUUGUCUUGAACCGGAGUUGUGUGAUCCAUUUCAGGAAUGUGACCAAGAUCAACAACUUGAGGGAAAGACACAUGUUCUUCCUCAGAGACAAAAUCUCUAACAACUUUAUCUCCCCACCCCCCAAACUCAAUAUCCUCAAAAAACCUAGCAUUACCCGUCUCAAAAAUAGUUCUA